rnacentral:ncRNA from 1 species
UUUAUUAAUAAAUUUGACUUUGGUUUGUAUUUUGAUUAUUGUGAUUUUGUACAUGUUAGAUUUUAUAUAUAUAUAUAUAUAUAUAUAUAUAUCGUUUAUUUUAAAAGUAUUUAUUGCGAAAAAUAUAUGUUAUUUAAUAUAUUUAUAUUUGUGCAUAGGUUGAUUGUAUUAUAUGAUAUAAAAAGUAUAAUUUUUAAGAUGUUCAGUAUAUUUAUUUAUACAAUAAAUGGGAGUUUUAUAUAGAAAUUAUAAAUAAUAAUUGGUUAAAUUUGUGCCAGCAGCUGCGGUUAUACAAAUAAUUAUAGUUAAAAUAAAAUGGUUAAAAAUAAAGUUAUAUACAGAUUAAUAUUUAAAGGAAAAAAUAUAAUUGGUUUGAAGGUAAAAUUUUUAAAUUAAUUGGUUUAUUAUUUGUUUCUUUGGUUAAUAGGUUCUUUGAAAAAUUUUGGAAUAAACUAGGAUUAGAUACCCUAUUAUUUUAUUUAUAAAAUUUGAUUGUGUUUAUCUAAAUAUUAUGAAAAUUAUAGUUAAUAUAUGUUGUUAACUAUUAAUUAUAUUUAAAAUUUAAAAAGUUUGGCGGUUUUACAUAUCCAGUUAGGGGAGUUUGUUAAUAUAAUUUGAUAAUCCACAUUUUAAACUAACUUUUUUUUAUAUACAUGUUUAUGUAUGUAUAGUUUAUAUAUUGCUGUCGGUAGUUUAUAUUUUAAGAUUGAAAGAACUAAUAAAAUUGUUGUUUUAUAUGUCAAGUCAUGAUGUAGCUAAUAAAAAAGGUUUAAUGGGCUACGUUAAAAAAUUUCUUUGAUCCGGAUGAUGAAAAUUAAAUUUGUUUUAAGGGGGACUUAAUAGUAAUUAUAUAAUUAGUAUGUAUAGGUGAAUUAGGUUUUGUAAAGUGUACAUAUCGCCCGUCACUCUUGUUAUUGAAAUAAGAUAAGUCGUAACAUAGUAGAGGUAAUGGAAAUUGUUUCUGGAAUAAAUUA